ACGCGUGGGUAACCUGCCUCACACAGGGGGAUAGCAGUUGGAAACGGCUGAUAAUACCGCAUAAGCGCACAGUACCGCAUGGUACAGAGGGAAAAGGAGCAAUCCGCUUUGAGAUGGCCUCGCGUCCGAUUAGCUAGUUGGUGAGGUAACGGCUCACCAAGGCGACGAUCAGUAGCCGGCUUGAGAGAGUGAACGGCCACAUUGGGACUGAGACACGGCCCAAACUCCUACGGGAGGCAGCAUG
rnacentral:rRNA from 1 species